rnacentral:rRNA from 1 species
GGAGGAAUACCGGUGGNGAAGGCGGCCCCCUGGACAAAGACUGACGCUCAGGUGNGAAAGCGUGGGGAGCAAACAGGAUUAGAUNCNNGGUAGNCCACGCUGUAAACGAUGUCGACUUGGAGGUUGUGCCCUUGAGGCGUGGCUUCCGGAGCUAACGCGUUAAGUCGACCGCCUGGGGAGUACGGCCGCAAGGUUAAAACUCAAAUGAAUUGACGGGGGCCCGCACAAGCGGUGGAGCAUGUGGUUUAAUUCGAUGCAACGCGAAGAACCUUACCUACUCUUGACAUCCACGGAACUUGCCAGAGAUGGCUUGGUGCCUUCGGGAACCGUGAGACAGGUGCUGCAUGGCUGUCGUCAGCUCGUGUUGUGAAAUGUUGGGUUAAGUCCCGCAACGAGCGCAACCCUUAUCCUUUGUUGCCAGCACUUCGGGUGGGAACUCAAAGGAGACUGCCGGUGAUAAACCGGAGGAAGGUGGGGAUGACGUCAAGUCAUCAUGGCCCUUACGAGUAGGGCUACACACGUGCUACAAUGGCGUAUACAAAGAGAAGCAAACUCGCGAGAGCCAGCGGACCUCAUAAAGUACGUCGUAGUCCGGAUUGGAGUCUGCAACUCGACUCCAUGAAGUCGGAAUCGCUAGUAAUCGUAGAUCAGAAUGCUACGGUGAAUACGUUCCCGGGCCUUGUACACACCGCCCGUCACACCAUGGGAGUGGGUUGCAAAAGAAGUAGGUAGCUUAACCUUCGGGAGGGCGCUUACCACUUUGUGACUCAUGACUGGGGUGAAGUCGUAACAGGUAGCCGU